GCGAGUGAAGCGGCAACAGCUCAAAUUUGAAAUCUGGCCCGCAGGGUCCGAGUUGUAAUUUGUAGAGGAUGCUUUUGGCGCGGUGCCUUCUGAGUUCCCUGGAACGGGACGCCACAGAGGGUGAGAGCCCCGUAUAGUCGGACACCAAGCCUCUGUAAAGCUCCUUCGACGAGUCGAGUAGUUUGGGAAUGCUGCUCAAAAUGGGAGGUAAAUCUCUUCUAAAGCUAAAUACAGGCUAGAGACCGAUAGCGCACAAGUAGAGUGAUCGAAAGAUGAAAAGCACUUUGAAAAGAGGGUUAAAAAGCACGUGAAAUUGUUGAAAGGGAAGCGCUUGUGACCAGACUUGCGCCCGGUUGAUCAUCCAGCGUUCUCGUUGGUGCACUCUGCCGGGCUCAGGCCAGCAUCGGUUCUUGCGGGGGGAUAAAAGCUCUGGGAAUGUAGCUCCCUCGGGAGUGUUAUAGCCCGCUGCAGAAUACCCCCGCGGGGACCGAGGUACGCGUUCCGCAAGGAUGCUGGCGUAAUGGUCACCAGCGACCC
rnacentral:rRNA from 1 species